GAUAAACGCUGGCGGCGUGCCUAACACAUGCAAGUCGAACGUCCUUCCCUUCUUCGGAAGGGGAGGCAGUGGCGGACGGGUGAGUAGCACAUGGGUGACCUGCCUUCCAGUGAGGAAUACCGCGAGAAAUCGCCGACAAUGCCGCAUACGCUCACGAGAUCAGCGCCGUGAGCAAAGCUCCGCAAGGGGCGCUGGAAGAGGGGCCCGUGGCCGAUUAGCUGGNGGUGGGGUAACGGCCUACCAAGGCGACGAUCGGUAGCUGGUCUGAGAGGACGAUCAGCCACACUGGGAUUGAGAACGGCCCA
rnacentral:rRNA from 1 species